rnacentral:tRNA from 2 species
GCGGUCAUAGUUUAGUGGUAGGACGGCUCCUUGCCAAGGAGCAGGCGCGAGUUCGAUUCUCGCUGACCGCACCU